rnacentral:ncRNA from 1 species
GUCAGGCAUGCGCCAGACAAACUCAAGGGAACGAAAAACGUUCCAGCACACUAAGAUGUGUGGGAUCCUUGAGCUGGGGGCCUGAUUUAUU